ACAUUGAUAUUCUCAUCUCCAUUCUAGUAUCAAAAAUCAAAGGUUUGGGCUUUGGAGUCUAGAUUGGGAUCAGUUCACCGCUAUGGUAUGGAAUUGAGGAAAGAUAGAGGAGUGGAGUUGGAUUUUGAUCGAAAAACUCUGGCAAGUGAAAGGUUGGAGUUGUGCAGUACGUUAGUUGAAGGAGAGAGAUUUUGGGUGAAGGCUCCUUGACUGGGUAUUGAUCAAAUUCAGAUUACGUUGGAAAGCUUGUAUGAAGAUGUUGCUGGGUCUUUAUUUCUUGUUGAGAUGAUGACGUUCUGUUUGGACUUCAUGAGACAAAUUAGCUCAAUUGUUCAAUUGUUUGUUAAUAAUUAAAGUGAGACAAGUUGGCUGGUUGUUUAACAAUUAGAGUGUUAUAAUGCUCUUUAUUGGAGUAUGGGUAUAAGCUUUAUUAAAGGUUGCCUGGAGGUAGGGUCAUUCAAUUGUAAAUUUGCUUUGGUGUUCUUGUAAUUCUGGAAUGAAUAAGGGAUACAUAUAUGUAUAAUUGUCUUCUUCUGGGAGUUAAGUUGCAGACGUGAGUGAGUACUUGGCAGAAACUAGAUUACAAUUAGA